rnacentral:rRNA from 1 species
GAUGAACGCUAGCUACAGGCCUAACACAUGCAAGUCGAGGGGCAUCGGGAGGGAAGCUUGCUUCCCUUGCCGGCGACCGGCGCACGGGUGAGUAACGCGUAUCGAACCUGCCCCAUACCCGGGGAUAGCCUUGCGAAAGUAAGAUUAAUACCCGAUGGCUUCCUUUUAUCUCCUGAUAGAGGGAAUAAAGAAUUUCGGUAUGGGAUGGCGAUGCGUCCGAUUAGCUGGUUGGCGGGGUAACGGCCCACCAAGGCGACGAUCGGUAGGGGUUCUGAGAGGAAGGUCCCCCACAUUGGAACUGAGACACGGUCCAAACUCCUACGGGAGGCAGCAGUGAGGAAUAUUGGUCAAUGGACGGAAGUCUGAACCAGCCAAGUAGCGUGCAGGAAGACGGCCCUAUGGGUUGUAAAACUGCUUUUANGUGGGAAUAAAGUCAGGGACGUGUCCCUGUUUGCAUGUACCACAGGAAUAAGGACCGGCUAAAUUCCGCG